AGUAGUGAGUAAAAAAAACAAACAAAUGACAACAAUAAUUGCUUUUCAACACAGCAGUAGUUGUUAUUAAGGUUUUGUGGAUUAUAUAACAUGUUAGUGCUCUGGAAAAACAGGAAAGCUACGGAACAGUGAAACAACAAUUGAGAGCAGAGCAAACCGAGGAAUUUCAGAGAGGCAGGUUUCUGAAGUCAGCUUGCUCAACAAAACAGUGAAAGGACAGGACAUGACUGACCCUCUAAGCCACAGGGUGAAAUACAGUAGCAGGAGCUGUUCUGAUGACCGAAGGCAAGGGUGCUGACUAAUUUGGAUGACUGCCAGAAAUACGAUUCAUCUCAUAUCAAAAAGUGUAGAUUGGGAUUGUGGAGGCAUAGGUAAGAUGUUUACCGCCAUUGAAAUGCCUACGAGUGGAGAUAUUUUUUUAAAUGUGUAAGUAUUGGUAAAGGGUUGUUUUUAACUCUUUCAGUAAUGUGUAAGUAGACUGUGAAAAACACCGCUACAGAUUUUGUCAAA